rnacentral:lncRNA from 1 species
CAGAAAUCAAUAAAAUACACAAAUAUUUUCACAAACAACCGGAUACAAAGAAUACAAACAGAGAUUCAAUCGGAAACGAAGGUUGAUAUAUUUUUCUUAGUUUCGAUUCAUGUUAUAUUUUCCAUUUUUUAUUGUUUUAUUAAAACAAAAUAAAUAAAGGAUAAAAACACUUAUCUUCGUUUACUUCUGAAACACCGUUUGGAUGGCCGAGGCUCGUCUCCGAGGAUAGACGAAGGGGAAGUCGAGAGGUUCCAAAGGCUUUUGGGGU